rnacentral:rRNA from 1 species
AUUGAACGCUGGCGGCAUGCUUUACACAUGCAAGUCGAACGGUAACAGGCCGCAAGGUGCUGACGAGUGGCGAACGGGUGAGUAAUGCAUCGGAACGUGCCCAGUCGUGGGGGAUAACUACUCGAAAGAGUAGCUAAUACCGCAUACGAUCUAUGGAUGAAAGCGGGGGACCGUAAGGCCUCGCGCGAUUGGAUCGGCCGAUGUCAGAUUAGGUAGUUGUUGGGGUAAAGGCUCACCAAGCCAACGAUCUGUAGCUGGUCUGAGAGGACGACCAGCCACACUGGGACUGAGACACGGCCCAGACUCCUACGGGAGGCAGCAGUGGGGAAUUUUGGACAAUGGGCGCAAGCCUGAUCCAGCAAUGCCGCGUGCAGGAAGAAGGCCUUCGGGUUGUAAACUGCUUUUGUACGGAACGAAACGGCUCUGGUUAAUACCCGGGGCUAAUGACGGUACCGUAAGAAUAAGCACCGGCUAACUACGUG